rnacentral:lncRNA from 1 species
AAUCGGUCAGUUUUUUUUAAUUUCCAGCAAAGUAUAUAAACAAAGUAAAUUAGUUUACCUUACCACACAUACUUCGACAGAGAAAAUUGAAGGAACUGUCUUUAGUUUGUAAGUGUUUGUUGAUUUUCAUAUUAUUCUUACAAGGCUUUAAAUAGAUCUGCAAUGCUUCAACAACUUAGCAAGAUUAUGAAAAAUGUCGUAUAUUGUUCUGAUAUUUUUGUUUACUAGCUUACAUAACUUUGAAUAAUUUUAAUACUAAGGUUUUUCUAUCUCAGGAGUAGAUUACAUCAGCUGUUUUUUGAAACACCUUAGGAUUUUUUUAUAAAUAUUUAAAUACAUGAAAAUAAACUAUAUAAUUAUGUAUUUAAUGAUACGGUAGGUCACUGAUUCUCUGAAGAUAUAUACUGUUACAAAAAUAGAAGAGUGUGUACUAGAGAUAAUAUUGAGAUGUUUGGAUUGCUUAAGGACUCGUUCUUAUUUCAAAAUCUCUGAAGAUUUAUGUUGUUACAAGAAAAGUUGUAUUGAGAUAUUUGGAUUGGUAAAGGACUCGUUUUUAUUUAAACAUACAUGGAUAUUUGGAAUAUUUUUGACUCCUAGUAAUUCCUCACAUAUCUUUUUGUCUAUCUUCUUACAUUAAACUAGAACACACCCGUGAUAUCGCGGGUCCGUGACUGAAUUAAAGUAUAUAACUAUGCGCAAGCCUUAUUUUAGUAUUAGUAUUAUCAUCUGAUAAAGUCACGCCGAUUAUAAGAUACACAGUUUUCUUUGCUUUCAAAUCUUUCUGUUUGAACCCGUCGAACUGGAACUUAUCAAUUAUUGAUAAUAUUAAUUAUUUGGAAAACAAAAGGUCCUGGAAUGGAGUAUUUUUUAAUCAACAGCAUUGUCCUAUAUUAGUUAUAAAUAAAGUUGAAUUCUUUGAUUCGCUGUUUUACGUCAUGCCCGCUAACAAAUUGAAAGCUGUACCUAUACGCCUUAUUUUAGUCCAGAUUUUUUGUAUUCGUAUUGUUAUCUUAGAAAGUCUAACUAAUUAUCUACAAUGUAACAAUUGAAAUUAAGUAGUUCAACCCUGUGAUUAUGACCCUAUAUUAUAUAGCAUAUUAAUCAAUACACCGUUUGAACGCCUGUCAUACAGAUAAGGUAAUCGGUAACAUUGAAUCUAUUCAUCGGACUCACCCGGAACUUCUAAUUAUUGGCAAUAUGAUGUUUGACAAAAAUGUAGACAUUUUAUAUUUGAGAUCCAAAUUUAAUGGUUUAUCUCCCUAUACAUGGAACUAUUAAAGGAAAUUUCUACAUUCUACGGGUUUUUGUCAGAACUAUACUAGUAGGACAUUGGACGUUCAGUGAAAUUUAGUUCCAUUGUGUUUUUUUUUUCAGAUGUCACUACUAUAAAACAUUUGCUAUCAAAAUUAUCUUAGUAAUAUGGAUUAGCAUUAUUUCAACUCAAUCGUUGGGUCAUAUUCAGCCAAUCAAGCACUAUUUUUUGCGCAUUGGUCGGGUUGGUUUCUCUUUGACAAAUUUCCCAUUUCAUUCCAAACUAUAUUACAGAAUUUGGAAUAACUCAGAAUUCAACAAAACCAUGGUAUAUCUUUAAUAUAAUAUUCGGAAAUGAUGUGUUAAAUAACAUUGUGUAUUGUAGUGUUUUAUACCAUGAAAAUGUACUUAAUUCGUUUUGUUUUAUUCAAAAACAAAUGAACGAAAAAUUUCUACAUAUCUUUUUUCUUAACCUUAGUUAAGGAUAUUGCACUUUUAAAAUAUACAAUUUUAUUACUUUGGAAAAGGAAAAAUGUGUAGUAUUAGAAAAAGAACAAUGUAUAGUAAAAGAAAAGGAACAAUGUGGAGUAUAAGAAAAAGAACAAUGUACGGUAUAAGAAAAGGAACAAUGUGUAGUAUUAGAAAAAGAACAAUGUGCAGUAUUAGAAAAAGAACAUAUUACAUAAUUAUAACAUUCGCACGAUUCAUUCAAUACAGGAAGUUUUGUAUUAAUAAAGUUCUAUCAGAAUUCGUUUUUUUAUAUAAUUUCCUACAGAAUAUAUUCGGAAAAAUCGUAUCCUACAUUAUUAUAUGUCAUCUAGGUGAGGAAAUCCUCUGCAAGAUGAAAAUAGGCAAGAUUCUGUGUGCGAUGUUCAUGAUGCUAAUGUCAGUUUUAGCAGGAGCAGCUAGUGGACAUCAACCAGGUCUACCACCACCAGGACUUGAAUUCCACAGAGGAAAACGAGAUGCUAAUGCCAACAAUAUAGAUAGAAUGGUAAGGUUUCCAGUAAUUACGUAAAGAACAAUUAUUCCUUAUAUUAAGUUUUAAAAUAACAAAAACAACUACUACUACUACUACUACUAUAACUACUACAACUACUACUUUUAUUGCAACAACAACAACAACUACUAAUACAUCAACAACAACAACAUAAUAAUGAUAAUAAUAAUAAUGAUAAUGAUAAUGAUAAUGAUAAUAAUAAUAAUAAUAAUAAUAAUAAUUCAUUUAUUUGUAUUAUGACUGCUACUGUUUUUGUCUUUGUAGAUAUUCCAACAGGGCAGCGUCCACUGCAGAUGUUAUAUGUGAUGGAUUUCUCCUUUAUAAUUACUUAUAAAUCGAAAAUCAACUUACAACGCAAUGGCUACAAAAG